GCGUGUGUGAUGAAGGCCUUAGGGUUGUAAAGCACUUUCACUGGUGAAGAUGAUGACGGUAACCAGAGAAGAAGCCCCGGCUAACUUCGUGCCAGCAGCCGCGGUAAUACGAAGGGGGCGAGCGUUGUUCGGAAUUACUGGGCGUAAAGGGAGCGCAGGCGGUUCAUUCAGUUAGGCGUGAAAGCCCCGGGCUCAACCUGGGAACUGCGCUUAAUACUGAUGAGCUAGAAAACAGGAGAGGGUAGUGGAAUUUCCAGUGUAGAGGUGAAAUUCGU
rnacentral:rRNA from 1 species